rnacentral:ncRNA from 2 species
AGCUAAGAUAUCAAAGCAAACGUGAACUGUAACGGAAUAGGGAAACGCCGGUGCAAGUCCGGGGCUGUGCCGCAGCUGUAAACGGAUUUUAGAUUUUAGAUUUUAGAUUUUGGAUUAUUCUCAUCCAAAAUCCACGCAUCCAAAAUCCAAAAUUGCGUUAGCCAGAACGCCUAUUUAUUACCUGCUCACUCU